rnacentral:rRNA from 1 species
AUUGAACGCUGGCGGCAGGCCUAACACAUGCAAGUCGAGCGGAUGAAGAGAGCUUGCUCUCUGAUUUAGCGGCGGACGGGUGAGUAAUGCCUAGGAAUCUGCCUGGUAGUGGGGGAUAACGUUCCGAAAGGAACGCUAAUACCGCGUACGUCGUACGGGAGAAAGCAGGGGACCUUCGGGCCUUGCGCUAUCAGAUGAGCCUAGGUCGGAUUAGCUAGUUGGUGAGGUAAUGGCUCACCAAGGCUACGAUCCGUAACUGGUCUGAGAGGAUGAUCAGUCACACUGGAACUGAGACACGGUCCAGACUCCUACGGGAGGCAGCAGUGGGGAAUAUUGGACAAUGGGCGAAAGCCUGAUCCAGCCAUGCCGCGUGUGUGAAGAAGGUCUUCGGAUUGUAAAGCACUUUAAGUUGGGAGGAAGGGUUGUAGAUUAAUACUCUGCAAUUUUGACGUUACCGACAGAAUAAGCACCGGCUAACUCUGUGCCAGCCGCCGCGGUAAUAC